rnacentral:rRNA from 1 species
UACAGAGGGUGCAAGCGUUAAUCGGAAUUACUGGGCGUAAAGCGUGCGUAGACGGUUGCGUAAGUCAGAUGUGAAAGCCCCGGGCUCAACCUGGGAAUUGCAUUUGAGACUGCGUAGCUAGGGUGCGGAAGAGGGAAGCGGAAUUUCCGGUGUAGCGGUGAAAUGCGUAGAUAUCGGAAGGAACACCAGUGGCGAAAGCGGCUUCCUGGUCCAGCACCGGACGUUCAGGCACGAAAGCGUGGGGAGCAAAAGGG